CUACCAUUUCCUUUCUUUUUUGCAUUCUUGCAGCCUAAAACUCUAAUCACCUUUUAUGUUGCUUUUUGUUGCUCAAUUAAAUAUAUGAAAUAUUUCUAAUAAUAAUCAGCUCCAGAUAUCCAGAAUCCUGUUUUAUAAGCCUAUAUUUUUCAUGUAUUUUUCUUUUUUUUUCUUUUUUGCUAUUUCUUUGGGCCGCUCUCGCGGCAUAUGGAGGUUCCCAGGCUAGGGGUCGAAUCGGAGCUGUAGCCACUGGCCUACGCCAGAGCCACAGCGACGCAGGAUCCGAGCCGUGUCUGCAACCUACACCACAGCUCACGGCAACGCCGGAUCGUUAACCCACUGAGCAAGGGCAGGGACCGAACCCGCAACCUCAUGGUUCCUAGUCGGAUUCGUUAACCACUGCGCCACGACAGGAACUCCUCAUGUAUUUUUCUAAGUGCAGACAACAAUUGUGUUUCUCUUCCAGCCAGUGCUAUUGUGUGAGACAGGUUAAUCUUGCUGUGCUGCAAAAGAAAGUCAUAUUCCUUGGGAUUCUUUGCUGUAAUUUUUUGCUGUCCACACUCCUAUGCUUUGGAGGACUAAAUAUUUCCACCAAUCUCAACAGACUUCCCCCUCCCCCGGUCUCCUGAGAGGUGUGCAUGCCAGUGUCUCCAGGCUGCAUUGCUCUCUGGCUGGGAGAGCCAGCGGAAGCUAGACUGGCAGACAUGGUGUCCAGGCCCCAUGCGCCUGUGGGUGGAAGCCAUCCUGAUUCUCUCUGAGAAUUUUUCUCCAGCCCAACCGAGUGAAGAACUUGCUUUUUUCAAUUUGGGAACAGUGGGUAUUUUCAAGUCACCAAUUUGUGUGAACCCAGAUUUACCACCACAUACUAUUAAAAUGACAGUGAAUGAACAGGGAGUGAGAAGUUCCAAGGCAACAAGGAGGAAAUAUAUGCUUUGUAGCUUUCCCUGCUCCUUAAGUCCUUAUUGGCCUCUGCUGAGAUACCUUCUCUCUCAGUGGCUGUGGUUAUCAGCUGUCUCCAAUGCAUCUCAGUUGAUGGAGCAAGUUGUUACUCCUGCCCAGUCCACCACCACUGCUGCUGGCUGCUGGACCACCCGCUAACCAGCAGAGUGUUUGUUACAAAAUGAAGAUGAAGCAGCUGGAACUUGGGUCUGCGAAGAGAGGCUCUGUCUUUCCUUGCUUGGGUAAGUCAUUCUGUAGCUGACAGCCCCCACCAUCCUACUGACUGCUGCCCCUAAACUGCGAGCCCUGCUUUGAGCACAUUCUUCCAUGCACCUCGCAGGCCUGCUGCAGAGUUGGUGGUAAGCGGGAAGAGAACCACACAGCACUCAAGUGCUUGGCUGCCUUCGGCAUGUCAGUCAAACACUGAAUGCAUGCACGAUGACUUGUUCAAUUAAAUGUGCCUUCAUUUAUCUAAUACAACCCACAAAUUCCUUUAAUUUUGCCACUUCCCACAUCAAAAACGGAAAGCUGAAGAAGGAAGAUUGUAAGGAAGGUUUCACAUUAAAGAUUCUGGUGACAACAACCUGGUGAUUUUUUAGUCAAUCAGGAUUUUUUUUCCCUUGGGAAGAAAUAGAAAGUAGGUGGAUAAUUAUUUAGUUGAGCUUAAAAUGUUUCUUCUGCAUGAGUUCCAGAGAAAAUGAAGAUGCUUUUGUUAUUAGCAAAGUAAUGAAAGGAGG
rnacentral:lncRNA from 1 species